UUUGGAUCCUGUCUCAAAUUAAGCGCUGGAGCAAGGCUUCCUUUAUGAAAUUCGAAGGGUUCCCCGGAGUUCGGUCUGGGGGGGAGUGGCGAGUGGGUGACUAAUACUUCGCAAGCGUGCCCGGCCGGGGGGGAUAAUUUAGGAAAGGUGACGCUAUUACCGAAUACAAUCUAAGGAUAAAAGCGGGGGACCGAAGGGCCUCGCGCGAUGGGGGCGGCCGAUGUCAAAUUAGGUAGUUGGUGAGGAAAGGGCUCCCCAAGCCAACAAUUUGUAGCUGGUCUGAAAGGAGGACAAACCCCACUGAACCUGACAGACGGCCCAAACUCCUACGGGAGGCAGCAGAGGGAAAUUUUGGACAAGGGACGCAAGUCUGAUCCAGCCUUUCCGCGUGCAGGAUGAAGGCCCUCGAGUUGUAAACGGCUUUUGUACGGAACGA
rnacentral:rRNA from 1 species